UAUAGCUUGGGCUUAUAGAAAGCCCAAUACAAAGAUUGGUGCAUCCAGUAGAGAGGUGUGCUUGAAAAAAGGAGGGUUCAAUGUGUAAUUUUCCUGGGCUUAUGGCCUCAGGCCCAUAUCACUAAUCCAAGCCAAAGGGAAAAAGGGAAGGAUCAGUAUCAUUCAUUUCGCCUUUCGUUAUGUUUUCAUCUCUCUCUCUCUCUCUCUCAAAAUUCUCCCCUUCGCCGGAGUUGUGCUCCUCCGCACCGGAGGUGGCAGAGUUGAGCCAAAACUGCCACCCCCCCCCCCCCAAAAUGAACCUCUCAACCUCAACUCUAUCAAUCUCGCCUCAUAUUAACCUUAACUCUAUCCGCUUUUGCAAAUCGAAACCAAAUAUAGAAGAACCCUAAGCGGAAAUUAAAUCAGAUAGGAGGGGAAUUUGAGACAGAAACCAUAUGGCUUUUAUUCCCCUCCCUUGAGGCUAAUUAUGGAAAGGAAUUUGAAGCAAGAAGAAUAGGUGGAGAGUGAUUUAUCGGUGAGACCAUGGCUUGUCUCGAACUUUGUUGAAGUUGAAGACAAAGAUUAUGAAGAGAAAACCAGAGGAAUCACAGGAAUGAUGUCCCCUUGGUAGAGUGAUCAUGGCUUGGUAUGAAGUAUUGCCAUAAAGAUUCGGCCAAGUCAUGAAUCAAGGCAACUUGGUGUGAAAUCAUGGCAUGUGAAGUUGGGCGUCGUCAAGGAUCAUGAAGUAGGAAUGGGUUUAGGAUAGCUUAGUUGAAUUUGGUCAACUGUUUGAUCAAAAAAUCAACAGUUGACCAAAAGUCAACUGUAGGCAAAAAAUUUAAUUUGUAUGGAAUUGUGAUCUUGUAUUUGUAAUGGAAAUUUUAAUGAAAUGGAUAAUGAAAUUGGCCAUUUUAAAAAUAAAUGAUCAUGUAUAA